GAUGAACGCUAGCGGGAGGCUUAAUACAUGCAAGUCGAGGGGUAACAGGGGCUUCGGCCCGCUGACGACCGGCGCACGGGUGAGUAACGCGUACGCAACUUACCUCCAAGCGAGGGAUAGCCCUGGGAAACUGGGAUUAAUACCUCAUGUGAUUAUGAUGCCGCAUGGUGUUAUAAUUAAAGUUCAGGCGCUUGGAGAUGGGCGUGCGUCCUAUUAGCUAGUUGGUGAGGUAACGGCUCACCAAGGCGACGAUAGGUAGGGGGCGUGAGAGCGUGGCCCCCCACACGGGUACUGAGACACGGACCCGACUCCUACGGGAGGCAGCAGUAAGGAAUAUUGGACAAUGGGCGCAAGCCUGAUCCAGCCAUCCCGCGUGCAGGAUGACAGCCCUACGGGUUGUAAACUGCUUUUGUUAGGGAAGAAACCCCCUCGAUUUAUCGGGGGCUGACGGUACCUUUCGAAUAAGCACCGGCUAACUCCGUGCCAGCAGCCGCGGUAAAG
rnacentral:rRNA from 1 species